ACUAAAUCAUUUUAUUGACUUGGAAUUAUAACAAGUAAACAUUUUUGGCUUCCCAAUUUGGUGGUGCUCUUCCUUUUCCCUUCUGUUAUGAUGAAUGUUGUUGCAGAAAUGUGUUAUGCCCUGUGAUUUGUAGUUUGUGGUGUACAACCAAAAGUUGAGAUAUCAGUGCUAAAUAGAAAAUGUUUUGUUGGGAGGAUAGGAAGCUGAAAAUAUUAAAAUGAUUGAACGUCUAUAAUUUGAUAAGUCAACUUUUAAAAUAUCUAUAUUACGCUCUAAUCUAAUUAUGUUUUGAUGUAGAUUUACCUUUGUUUAUACCAUAUUUAGGGCCUCGUAUUUAGACCUCGUACAAUUACUUGAGGGACUUAAAUGUAAUUAUGUGAUAAAGGAAUGGGCAAAUAUGUAAUAAGUGAGGAGUCCUUAUUCUAUAAAAGGACCCCUCACCCUCACAAUUGAGGGAGGCCAUUUGGGAGGUCAUUUUUGAGGCCAAUUCCUAAGGCUCCUCACCCUCUCAACGUCUCACUCCCAGAGCUCUCUCCCUCAAAUAAAUACAAUCAGUGUGGACGUAGCCCAAACCUUGGGGUGAACCACGAUACAUCUUGUGUUAUUUACAUUUCUUGCAGAUACACGGUCUGAUUUACGUUGUUCCAAGACCUCCAAUUUUGUGCAUCAACAACCUUUGUUUAUACAUAUAUGAAAUUCUUAUACUUUCAUGAUUUUUAGGAUUGAAGGUGCUCAAGCUCUGAUGUAGAUUUAUCUUCCAGUUGCUUGUGAGUCUAAAUUUAAUUCAGUUUAUUUAUAGUAUUUUCAAACACUCACUUGCAUAUAUUUAUGUUCAAUAAUAGGUAUUAUUUGUGGUAGACCUAUCCCAUCCGAAAGAUGAUUGAAUAUAUUGAAAAGAAGAUGGCGAAAUUGUACUCUCAAUUUAGGCAUCGGUUACAUCGGCACUUAUCAUGUGAAACACCUACAAGAGGACGAGGUAAACUUCCAAAUGAUCUAAUGUUGAAUGGGAGACCAAGAAGUCAUUUGGAGUGGUUAUGCGAUGAUGUUUACGCUACUACACUCUUUUUUAUAUGUAUUCUAUACAAUCUUUUCUUGUAUAAGUCCAAGUUAGAUACCAAUGUUUUCUUAUAUGGUUAAAAAAACAAUUUUUUAAUUAAGAGUUGAUUUUGUGAUAAAGCUCUGAUAAUCUAUGUAAUGUUACCGUACAGUAAUAUAGGGGUGCUUUACAAGUAUUUUGUUAACAUUAGUCAUAACCAUAUGCAUGUAUUGUUUGCAUUCGUAUGCUUCUCAUCGCUUUUAAUUAUGCAUUUCAAAUUGGUAAAAUUUGAGAAUGGCUAAAAGAGUACUAGAGCUGAAAGCAAUUUAUUUAGUGUUUAUGAAAAUUUGAAUUAAUAUGUACAACUGAAAUAUAUCACUUUAUGGGUGCGUUUGUUGCACUGGACUAUCUCGGACUGGACUAGCUUCAGGGACUAAACUAGGCUGGCUUGAAAUAGAAUAAGCUGGACUGAUUUAGUAAAGCGUUUGGUAUAGUAUCGAACUAAGAAACAUGAGUCAAAUAUUAUAUUAUUUAAUUUGUACCUAUUAAAAUUUUAUUAUUAAUUUAUAUUUUUAUGAAUAUUAUAUUAUUACUUCAACUUUUUCUUUUGUUCUUUUCUAGAAUCAUGUUUUCCUAUUGUUUUCUCCCCCACUAUCUUCCUCCCCUCUCCCCUUUUUCUCCCUUAUUUCACCCUCCUGUUCUCUGUACCAGGUUGCUCCUUGCUUUGUUGUUCCUUUUGCUUUUCCUUUGCCUUCAUGUGUGAGAUAGGGGUUGAAUUUUGAGUUGGGGGCAAAAUGCAUGUGUUAUUGGCUCGAAGGUGGGAGUUAGGGGCUGAAUCUGGUUUGGGUUUCUGGUUUUUUUGGUUUUCUGGGUUUUUUUAUUUUUUGGGUUCAAAUUUUGAGAGUUGGAUUUGGUUUUGAAAAGGGAAAAAUUGAAAAAGUUUUGCUUUUUUGUUGCGAGUUUUGCAGGAUCUGGGUUUGAAAGGGUUGUAGAAUAAAGUGAUAAAAAACUUAUCUAUUGAUGAGAAAAAUCAAUAAACAAAUAAAAUCAUCAAGACAUAAGAAUAAAGUGAUCAAAAACUUAUCUAUUGAUGAGAAAAAUCAAUAAACUUUCUUAUGUUUGGUUACUAUGACUACAGAUGAGACGAGACGAAGGCUUUCUAAAAAGUGAAAAAGGGUCACUGUUGUACCCCAAAAGUCGAAAAAAUAAUAAUAAACUACUCAUAGGAAACCUAAAAUAAUAAAAUAUUAAAUCCAUUCUUUAGAACCGGAUGACUACUCCUAGGAAACCUAAACUAAUCACUAUAGACUACUUCCUAUAAACUAAUCAAAUAAAAAGAUUUAUUGAAAUGUGUGUGUCAAUGUGUAUGAUUUGAAAUAUAAUAAUAAUAAAUUUUGAUAUUGAUUAAAGUAAAUAAUUUAUGUAAUAUUUAUUAACUCUUACUUUCUAAAAGUAGUAUUAUUUUUCAAAACUUUUACUUAUUGGGUGGGCUAUAACAAUUAAAAAUAAUAAAAUAGUCUAAAUCAUCAGUAUUUUUAACCUUAAACAAUUAAAACUCUCCCUAUGCUAGAGCCCACCCUAGCCUUGUUACUGCCUCCGCCGUUGCCGGCAGUUUCUUACACAACACAAAAAUGACGGGUUUCGAGUC
rnacentral:lncRNA from 1 species